CAGAGGGUGCAAGCGUUAAUCGGAAUUACUGGGCGUAAAGCGCGCGUAGGCGGCUAAUAAGUCGGGUGUGAAAGCCCCGGGCUCAACCUGGGAAUUGCAUCCGAUACUGAUUGGCUAGAGUAUGAGAGAGGGAGGUAGAAUUCCACGUGUAGCGGUGAAAUGCGUAGAUAUGUGGAGGAAUACCGGUGGCGAAGGCGGCCUCCUGGCUUAAUACUGACGCUGAGGUGCGAAAGCGUGGGGAUCAAACAGGAUUAGAUACCCUGGUAGUCCACGCCGUAAACGAUGUCAACUAGCCGUUGGGCACCUUAGUGUGCUUGGUGGCGCAGCUAACGCGAUAAGUUGACCGCCUGGGGAGUACGGUCGCAAGAUUA
rnacentral:rRNA from 1 species